GAUGAACGCUGGCGGCGUGCCUAAUACAUGCAAGUCGAGCGAACAGACGAGGAGCUUGCUCCUCUGACGUUAGCGGCGGACGGGUGAGUAACACGUGGAUAACCUACCUAUAAGACUGGGAUAACUUCGGGAAACCGGAGCUAAUACCGGAUAACAUGUUGAACCGCAUGGUUCAACAGUGAAAGACGGUCUUGCUGUCACUUAUAGAUGGAUCCGCGCCGCAUUAGCUAGUUGGUAAGGUAACAGCUUACCAAGGCAACGAUGCGUAGCCGACCUGAGAGGGUGAUCGGCCACACUGGAACUGAGACACGGUCCAGACUCCUACGGGAGGCAGCAGUAGGGAAUCUUCCGCAAUGGGCGAAAGCCUGACGGAGCAACGCCGCGUGAGUGAAGAAGGUCUUCGGAUCGUAAAACUCUGUUAUUAGGGAAGAACAAAUGUGUAAGUAACUAUGCACGUCUUGACGGUACCUAAUCAGAAAGCCACGGCUAACUACGUG
rnacentral:rRNA from 1 species